UGCCGAAACGCCCAGGCUCUCAGUCGUGGCAGCCGGAUCGCCAAGCUGCGAGACAAUCGGGCGUCAGCGCCGCAGUGGUCGGCGGCGUUCUGAUGAGGCAGACCAGA
rnacentral:hammerhead_ribozyme from 2 species